rnacentral:rRNA from 1 species
CCUACGGGAGGCAGCAGUGGGGAAUAUUGGACAAUGGGCGAAAGCCUGAUCCAGCCAUGCCGCGUGUGUGAAGAAGGCCUUCGGGUUGUAAAGCACUUUCAGUGGGGAAGAAAGCCUUGGGGCUAAUACCCUCGAGGAAGGACAUCACCCACAGAAGAAGCACCGGCUAACUCCGUGCCAGCAGCCGCGGUAAUACGGAGGGUGCGAGCGUUAAUCGGAAUUACUGGGCGUAAAGCGCGCGUAGGCGGUCUGAUAAGCCGGUUGUGAAAGCCCCGGGCUCAACCUGGGAACGGCAUCCGGAACUGUCAGGCUAGAGUGCAGGAGAGGAAGGUAGAAUUCCCGGUGUAGCGGUGAAAUGCGUAGAGAUCGGGAGGAAUACCAGUGGCGAAGGCGGCCUUCUGGACUGACACUGACGCUGAGGUGCGAAAGCGUGGGUAGCAAACAGGAUUAGAUACCCAGUAGUC